rnacentral:snoRNA from 1 species
GCAUGCCUGUGAUGAUUGAAGAGCAAACAAUGGUGAGUUCGAUGAAUGUGCUCGUGUACCGCUGGGUGCGGAGCUCUGGUGAUAUGCAUUCUUACGUGGUUCAUCUGAGCCACGC